rnacentral:rRNA from 1 species
GACGAACGCUGGCGGCGUGCCUAAUACAUGCAAGUAGAACGCUGAAGAGAGGAGCUUGCUCUUCUUGGAUGAGUUGCGAACGGGUGAGUAACGCGUAGGUAACCUGCCUUGUAGCGGGGGAUAACUAUUGGAAACGAUAGCUAAUACCGCAUAACAAUGGAUGACACAUGUCAUUUAUUUGAAAGGGGCAAUUGCUCCACUACAAGAUGGACCUGCGUUGUAUUAGCUAGUAGGUGAGGUAAUGGCUCACCUAGGCGACGAUACAUAGCCGACCUGAGAGGGUGAUCGGCCACACUGGGACUGAGACACGGCCCAGACUCCUACGGGAGGCAGCAGUAGGGAAUCUUCGGCAAUGGGGGCAACCCUGACCGAGCAACGCCGCGUGAGUGAAGAAGGUUGUCGGAUCGUAAAGCCCUGUUGUAAGUCAAGAACGGGUGUGAGAGUGGAAAGUUCACACUGUGACGGUAGCUUACCAGAAAGGGACGGCUAACUACGUG